ensembl:lncRNA
AGAGAGACAGAGACAUACAGGCAUACAGAUAGACAGAUAGCUAGACUGAGAAACAGACAGAUAGAUAGAGAGACAGACAGGCAUACAGAUAGACAGAGAUAGAGAGACAGGUAGACAGACAGACAGAUAUAGAGACAGACAGAUAGUUAGACAGAUAAGCAUACAGAGAGACACAGACAGACAGGCAUACAGAGAGACAGACAGAGAGACAGAGAUACACAGAUAGAGACAGAUAGACAGAGAGGCAUACAGAGAGACAGAGAGAGAGACAGACAGACAGAGAGAGGUUACACAGUCUCAGCUUGGGGCAAUGUCAGUGUUUGUAAUAUUAUUUACCACUCAACAUAUUUAUAUUUCUUUAACACCGUGUCAGCGUGGGCGUGGUCAAGUGUCAGCAGUGGACAGAAAGGAGACGGGUUGAACCAGCAGGUAACGUGUUAUGAUUCUCACCUCUCUUUCAGGGAGAAGAGCAUGAACCCGAGAGAGGGACAGAGCUGACGGAGCUCGCACAUCACACUCACACUCGCACGCACUC